rnacentral:lncRNA from 1 species
GCCGGCCACUGCCUCUGCUCUGCUCCUGCUCCUGCUGGGCCUGGCCUGGACCCAGGGGAGCCACGGCUGGGUGGGUACCGCAGGGUGCACAGGGUGCGGACGCGUCAUCACUGCAGAAACGUGCAGGCAGAGACGAUCAGAACUACAAUUACAACCAGCAUGCGUAUCCCACUGCCUAUGGUGGGAAGUACUCAGUCAAGACCCCUGCAAAGGGGGGAGUCUCACCUUCUUCCUCGGCUUCCCGGGUGCAACCUGGCCUGCUGCAGUGGGUGAAGUUUUGGUAGGCAAUUUCUUGCAACCACCACCGAGGCCCCGAAAAGCACU